rnacentral:snRNA from 1 species
UUACCACUCUAGCCUCUUGGCUUAGAUCAAGUGUAGUAUCUGUUCUUAAAAGUUUAACCACUUUUAUGAGUCCACCGGACUCAUUAUGGUUUACUUAUUUUUCGAUCCCCAGUGGUGUGGUCCUCUGCUUGCACGACCCGCCACAAGAUGACCUUGCUAUUGCACUAGCGGCAGGCGUCGUCAGGGUUU